UACGUAGGGGGCGAGCGUUUGUCCGGAAUCAUUGGGCGUAAAGAGCGUGUAGGCGGUUUGGUAGGUCCGCUGUGAAAACUCGAGGCUCAACCUCGAGACGCCGGUGGAAACCAUCAGGCUAGAGUCCGGAAGAGGAGAGUGGAAUUCCUGGUGUAGCGGUGAAAUGCGCAGAUAUCAGGAAGAACACCCGUGGCGAAGGCGGCUCUCUGGGACGGUACUGACGCUGAGACGCGAAAGCGUGGGGAGCGAACAGG
rnacentral:rRNA from 1 species